CCUUAAGGGGUCAAUUGACCAUUUAGGUCAUGUGGACUUAUUUGUAGAUCUUACUUUGAUGAACAUUAUCGCUGUUUACAGUUUAUCGCUAUCUAUAAUAGUAUUCAAGAUAAUAACCAAAAACAGCAAAAUUUCUUUAAAAAUUACCAAUUGGAGGGCAGCAACCCAACAACCGGUUGUCCAAUUCAUUUGAAUAUUUCAGGGCAGAUAUAUAUUGACUUGAUUAACAAUUUAACUCCUUGUCAGAUUUCCUCUAAAUGAUUUGGUUUCAGAGUUGUAAGCAAAAAACUACAUUUUACCCCUGUUCUAUUUUUAGCCGUGGUGGCCAUCUUGGUUGGAUGGCCAGGUCAUCGGACACAUUUUUCAAACAAGGUACCUAAAAGAUGAUUGUGGCCAAGUUUAAAAUAAUUUGGCCCAGUAGUUUCAGAGGAGAAGAUUUUUGUAAAAGAUAACUAAGAUUUACGAAAAAUGGUUAAAAAUUGACUAUAAAGGGCAAUAACUCCUAAAGGGUCAACUGACCAUUUCGGUCAUGUUGACUUAUUUGUAAAUCUUACUUUGAUGAACAUUAUUGCUGUUUACAGUUUAUCUCUAUCUAUAAUAAUAUUCAAGAUAAUAACCAAAAACGGCAAAAUUUCCUCAAAAUUACCAAUUCAGGGGCAGCAAUCCAACAACAGGUUGACCGAUUCAUCUGAAAAUUUCAGGGCAGAUAGAUCUUGACCUGAUAAACAUUUUUACUCCGUCAGAU
rnacentral:lncRNA from 1 species